rnacentral:lncRNA from 1 species
CCUCCAUCUCUUAGUCAAACAACUCCGUGAACUCCUAUUUUAACAGACUCAAAAGGACUUUGGGAGGAACUUGAGAAUUAUAGACCAAUGUUAGUGGUGGACGAUCAGAUCAUGCAAUUUCUGAUGGGGCUAGAUGAUCAAUUUUCACAUGUGGGGAGUCAGAUCCUACUGAUGGAUCCCAUGCCUUCACUCAACAAGGUGUUUGCUCUAAUUCUACAAGAUGAAAGGUAAAAGGAGAUGAUGGCUAAGAAACAGCAGAAUUUUGAUGCUCCUGCCUUUGCUGGUAAGAUGGUUCACAAUUUAGUUGGUAACCAAAGAGCAAGCUUGUUUAAUCAGCUUCAAAGAAAAGAUAAAUCGAUAUGUAGGAUGGUAGGACAUCUUACGAGUAAGUGCUAUAAGUUGAGUGGUUGUCCUCCGGGUCACAGGCUAGCUAAAGGAAAAGCUCAAGUUGCCAAUGCUGUUGGUCCAAUUGCCAAUUCUGGUUUAGACAUUGUUAAUUUCUUGUCAAACAUCACUAUCCCUCCAGGACAAUGCCAGCAAAUUCUGGCCAUGUUAGCUCCACAGUUGAAAGGGAAAACUUCUGCUAGUCAUCAACCGUCUUAGGAAGUGAUUUCAUCAUCAUAUCAAAUGCCAUAAGCUUUUGCCUUCUCAGGUAAUCCUACUCAUUUUAAUGAUUCCACAGUUGGAAAUAAGUGGAUUUUGGACACUGGAGCCUCAGAGCACAUGGUGUGCUCAAUUAAGCAUCUGAUGACUGUAAAUGCAAGAAUUAAAGCUGUUGUGAGACUGCCUAAUGGUGACAGUGCUUUAGCCACACAUAUUGGGACAAUAAAGUUGUUCAAUACCUUGAUACUGACAAAUGUUCUAGUUGUGCCACGUUUUCAAUUCAAUUUGAUCUCUGCUAGUAAACUAAUAACUCAGUACAGUUGCUUCAUGAUUUUCAUUAACCACCAUUGUUUUGUUCAGGAUCUUUCAACAUGGACGACAAUUGGGAUAGGCACACUUGAAGAUGGAUUAUACCACCUUCAGCAACCUAAGCACCAAUGCAAUGAUCAGUCAUCAAUUCAUUCUCAACAAUCCACCUUAGCUCCGAAUAAUUCCUCUAGUGUCAAUCCAAGUUUGCAAUGUAAUAAUUCAAUGUCUUUUGUUUGUAAUUCCACUAGCAAUGUUACUCUUCAGAAUAAGAUUGAUAUCUGGCAAUGCCGAUUAGGACACAUUCCUACUUCGAAAUAAUCAUUUUUACCCAAAGUUGUUCCAAACAUCACGUUACAUCUACAUUGUUCCAUUUGCCCCUUAGCUAAGUAGCAUAAGUUGCCUUUUCUAAAUAGCCAGACAAGAUCAGCUAAUAUCUUUGACCUUAUUCAUUGCAACAUUUGGGGACAAUACUCUGUCCCUUCCUUAGAUGGAUCAAAGUAUUUCCUAGCAAUUGUUGAUGACUACAGUAGAAUGACUUGGACAUAUCUAUUACAUGAUAAAUCCUAAACUCGAUCCACUAUGCAGUCUUUCUAUCAUUUAGUACCAACACACUUUCAAUGUAAAAUAAAAAUUAUCCGAUCUGACAAUGGGAUGAAAUUUAGCAUACCAGAAUUCUAUCGUGAUAAGGGGAUUAUCCAUCAACUAAGCUGUGUAGAAACACCAUAGCAAAAUGGAAUGGUUGAGCGUAAACACCAACACUUUCUCAAUAUUGCCAGAGCCCUUAAAUUCCAAGCCAAUUUGCCUCAUCAAUUUUGGGGUGAUUGUGUUCUCACUGCCACACAUUUGAUCAACCUAAUACCUACCUCUAUCCUUGGAAAUAAGUCUCCCUAUGAAAUGUUGUAUCAAGUCUCAUCCUCAUAUAAUCUUCUUAAGGUUCUUGGAUGCCUAUGUUAUGCUUCUCCCAUUAAAAGAAAUCGUACAAAGUUUGACCCUAGAGCCAUUCCUUGUGUUUUCCUUGGUUACCCUCAGG